AACGAACGCUGGCGGCAUGCCUAACACAUGCAAGUCGAACGAUGCCUUCGGGCAUAGUGGCGCACGGGUGCGUAACGCGUGGGAAUCUGCCUUUCGGUUCGGAAUAACUCAGGGAAACUUGAGCUAAUACCGGAUAACGUCGCAAGACCAAAGAUUUAUCACCGAAAGAUGAGCCCGCGUAGGAUUAGCUAGUUGGUGAGGUAAAGGCACACCAAGGCGACGAUCCUUAGCUGGUCUGAGAGGAUGAUCAGCCACACUGGGACUGAGACACGGCCCAGACUCCUACGGGAGGCAGCAGUGGGGAAUAUUGGACAAUGGGCGAAAGCCUGAUCCAGCAAUGCCGCGUGAGUGAUGAAGGCCUUAGGGUUGUAAAGCUCUUUUACCCGGGAAGAUAAUGACGGUACCGGGAGAAUAAGCCCCGGCUAACUCCGUG
rnacentral:rRNA from 1 species